rnacentral:rRNA from 1 species
UACGUAGGUGGCAAGCGUUGUCCGGAUUUACUGGGCGUAAAGAGCGCGCAGGCGGUCGUUCAAGUCGCGUGUGAAAGCCCCCGGCUCAACUGGGGAGGGUCACGCGAUACUGAUCGACUCGAAGGCAGGAGAGGGUAGUGGAAUUCCCGGUGUAGUGGUGAAAUGCGUAGAUAUCGGGAGGAACACCAGUGGCGAAGGCGACCUUCUGGACAGAUACUGACACUGAGGCACGAAAGCGUGGGGAGCAAACAGG